rnacentral:lncRNA from 1 species
GGAUCAUUGAUGACCAUAAAAGAUGUGGGAGUCGUCUGAAACAUACAUGAUGACCACAACAUUGCGAGUCUGAGGUCCACAUCAUAAUCUAUGCAUUGCAUGCUGGGAUCCUGGUGAGAGAUGUUAGGAACAGUCUACUUUGAACAUGGAGUUUACAUGUAGAUUAAUUAAUAUUUGGAAAUCGUGUCUACUGAUACAUAAUCCCAUAAGUAGAGUGCAAAUCAUUUAGACCGGGUAGCUCUGAGCCAGAAACGAUGACAGAGGAAUCCCCAUAAGACAUGGAAAAUCAUUGUCUAUGUUCCUGGUGACAUCAGAGUCAUGGGUUUUGAUGUGUCAGGAAGACCAAUCCAAUUCGAUUGAUAGCUCAAGCAAGGGAUUGGAUAGAGGAGAAGUGAUCAAGGCAGAUAGAUGUAAAUUAUGGAUGAGUGAAGAGAAAGUUAAUCUUUUUGUCAUUUUUUUUCUGCAUUUUACUCUCAGAAUAGAUACCUCCAAGGUGAUCUCCAAGUUCUUCCUCAGUCUUGAGGUUUGGGAUUCCCGGUUUUUGUCAGUAGAAUUGUGAGAGUGUGAGUUCAUCCUAUUUUCUCAAGAACGAUUUGUUUUCUUGCAUGUAUUCCCUCUUCCGGUAUGAAUUUAGUAUCUUGGGAGAGCAACUGUAGACAGUGGUUCAAUAAGGAACGCAUACGAAAAAAAAUAUGGUCCAAACCGAUUCCUAUGAAGAGUGUGCAAUGACAGAGGUAGUGACCACUGCCAAAGAUGCUCUAGAGUUUAAAGUCCACUCAAGCAUCUGGUAGUUAAUGUUAGUUUCCAAUGGAAAUCUAACCAGCAGUACUAGUGAUCAGCGGCUCAAUAAAUGCAGCACAAUUUAGAGCCUUGGUGGAUGAUGUUGGAUCAUUGAUGACCAAAAAAAAAAAAACAUCUGGGAGUCCUCUGAGACAUCCAUGAUGACCACAACAUUGUAAGUCUGAGGUCCACAUCAUAAUCUAUGCACUGCAUGCUGGGAUACUGGUGAGAGAUGUUAGAUAUAGUCCAAUUUCAACAAGGAGUUUACAUGUAGAUUAAUUAAUAUUUGGAAAUCGUGUCUACUGACACAUAAUCCCAUAAGUAGAGUGCAAAUCAUUUUGACCGGGUAGAUCUGAGCCAGAAACGAUGACAGAGGAAUCCCCAUAAGCCAUGGAAAAUCAUUGUCUAUGUUCCUGUUGACAUCAGAGUCAUGGUGGUUUUAUGGGUCAGGAAGAGCCAAUCCAAGUGGAUUGAUAGCUCAAGCAAGGGAUUGGAUAGAGGAGAAGUGAUCAAGGCAGAAUGCUGUAAAUUAUGGAUGAGUAAAGAGAAAGUUAAUCUUUUUGUCAUUUUUUUUCUGCCUUUUACUCCCAGAAUACAUACCUCCACGGUGAUUUCAGAGUUCUUCCUCAGUCCUGAGGUUUGGGAUUCCCGGUUUGUGUCAGUAGAAUUGCGAGAGUGUGAGUUCAUCCUAUUUUCUUCAGUAUGAUUUUUUUCCUUGCAUGUAAUGCCUCUUCCCCUAUGAGUUGAUAAUCUUGGGAGAGCAACUGUAGACAGUGGUUAAAUAAGGAACGCAUACGAAAAAUAUAUGUUCCAUGAACUGAUACCUAUGAAGAGUGUGCAAUGACAGAUGUAAUGACCUUUGCCAAAGAUGCUCUAGAGUUUAAAAUCCACUCAAGCAUCUGGUAGUUAAUGUUAGUUUUCAAUGGAAAUCUAACCAGCACUACUAGUGUUCAGCCUCUCAAUAAAUGCAGCCCAGUUUAGAGCCUGGGGGGGAUGAUGUUGGAUCAUUGAUGACCAUAAAAGAUGUGGGAGUCGUCUGAAACAUGCAUGAUGACCACAACAUUGCGAGUCUGAGGUCCACAUCAUAAUCUAUGCACUGCAUACUGGGAUCCUGGUGAGAGAUGUUAGGAACAGUCUACUUUGAGCAUGUAGUUUUAAUGUAGAUUAAAGAAAAAAUUGGAAAUUGUGUCUACUAAGACAUAAUCCCAUAGGUAGUGUGCUAAUCAUCUUUACCGGGUAGUUUCUAAGUCAGAAACGAUGACAGAGGGAUCCCAAUAAGCCAUGGAAAGUCAUGGACUAUGUUCCUGGUGACGUCAGAGUCAUGGGCUUUGAUGUGUCAGGAAGAGCCAAUCCAAUUGGAUUGAUAAUUCAAGCAAGGGAUUGGAUAGAGGAGAAGUGAUCAAGGCAGAUAGAUGUAAAUUAUGGAUGAGUAAAGAGAAAGUUAAUCUUUUUGUCAUUUUUUU